UACGGGGGGGGCAAGCGUUGUUCGGAAUUACUGGGCGUAAAGGGCUCGUAGGCGGCCAACUAAGUCAGACGUGAAAUCCCCAGGCUUAACCUGGGAACUGCAUCCGAUCUGGAUGGCUUGAAUUCGGGAGAGGGAUGCAGAAUUCCAGGUGUAGCGGUGAAAUGCGCAGAUAUCAGGAGGAACACCGGUUGGCGAAGGCGGGUCUCUGGGCCGAUACUGACGCUGGAGGAGCGAAAGCGUGGGGAGCGAACAGG
rnacentral:rRNA from 1 species